UCUCUGCUGAUCAACACUACAGACACUACACAAACAGAAAUGGAGGUGGAUCAAAAUAUCAUCGUCGCCGUGUGCGGCCGUCCUGUCCUGUACGACACCACGAUGGUGUCGUACAGGGACAGGAACAAAACAGAGAGGGCGUGGGUCGACGUGGCAGAGGAUAUUGGCGUUCCUGACCAGCCCAGCAGUGAGUCUGAUAUAGAGGACGCUGAUGCUGCUCCUGCUCCUGCCCCUGCCGCUGGCCCUUCCUGUGUACCUGUCCCUGAGGCUGCCCCUGCCCCAAGACCACAGGGCGCGACGAAGAGGAAGAGAGCAGCCAGGGUACCGGAGGGGAAUACUGUCCAGACAGCCAUCCUCCAGGCCCUGCAGAGGCAUAAUUCUGUGCCUACUCCUACCCCGCUUUCUGGGAAUGAGCACUUUGCCAUGGGCCUAGUUCCUUCCCUGGAUAGAUUGCCACCUGAAGUACUGGAGUACGUUAAAUUCCAAAUCCGUAAAGUCAUAUUUGACCAUUCUAA